AACUUAAGACUUCUGAAAACAAAUAAUGUUCAAAUGGUAACUGGUAAGCCAGAGAGCCUGCUGGUCAUCAAGGGAUCAGUUGGUACACAGAAAAGGAAGCCAGGUUAGCCAGGAGGUCAGACUACACAUACCAAUAAAUGGCUAAGGAAUAGGCAAAUAAUUAUACACCCUGUGUCUGAGCCAGUAGAUGGAAUAAUAUGCUGUGAUUAAAAUGAAUUUAUAAUAACAUGUAAAAAAUGUUCUUAAUAUAUUUAAACUAUUAGUAUAAUGCUUUAUACCCUAUAUCUUAGUGACAUACAGGAAGAAAAUACAGGCAGUAUGCACAUACAGUGCGUACUUCUUUUGUGGGGGUAGGGUUUUACUUAGUCCUCUGCUGAG
rnacentral:lncRNA from 1 species